UGGGGAAUCUUGGACAAUGGGCGCAAGCCUGAUCCAGCCAUGCCGCGUGGAUGAUGAAGGCCUUAGGGUUGUAAAAUCCUUUCGCCGAGGACGAUAAUGACGGUACCCGGAGAAGAAGCUCCGGCUAACUUCGUGCCAGCAGCCGCGGUAAUACGAAGGGGGCUAGCGUUGUUCGGAUUUACUGGGCGUAAAGCGCGUGUAGGCGGGUCGUUAAGUUGGGGGUGAAAUCUCAUGGCUCAACUGUGAGGCUGCCUUCUAGACUGCCAGGCUUGAGCACAGUAGAGGCGAGUGGAAUUCCCGGUGUAGCGGUGGAAUGCGUAGAGAUCGGGAAGAACAUCGGUGGCGAAGGCGGCUCGCUGGGCUGUUGCUGACGCUGAGGCGCGAAAGCGUGGGGAGCAAACAGGAUUAGAUACCCAAGUAGUCCCUGAGCGGGCUGGCAAGGCGCAU
rnacentral:rRNA from 1 species